rnacentral:rRNA from 1 species
UACGAAGGAUCCAAGCGUUAUCCGGAUUUAUUGGGUUUAAAGGGUGCGUAGGCGGGCUAUUAAGUCAGUGGUGAAAGCCCCAAGCUUAACUUGGGAACUGCCAUUGAUACUGAUGGUCUUGAGUACACUUGAGGUGGGCGGAAUGUGUCAUGUAGCGGUGAAAUGCUUAGAUAUGACACAGAACACCGAUUGCGAAGGCAGCUCACUAAAUUGUAACUGACGCUGAGGCACGAAAGCGUGGGGAGCGAACAGG